AUGCAAUAGGAACGGUGCAUGGCCAGUGGCAGCGAUAUCUGCCGCAAUGUAUGUGCCACUGAAGACGAAGAGAUGCAGCAAGACUGCUACCUUGUAUCUAAUGUGAACCCAAAUACCAAAAAUAUGACUGCAGUUCUCGUCAAUAUAUUUCAUUUCUUUCUGAGAUGGUCCGUUGAAUCUGACAAUUUGCUGGACGAGCAAUGGUCGAGGCAACAGUUAGAGGGAACACUGCUUACGUCCUGGUAAUUUACUAACCAAUUAGUCCUGGUACGAUACUGGAUACAUGGAUCAUUUCAUUGUUUUUGAUUUAUUGACUUGGAUGGAAGGAAGAAGGCCAGGUUGUGAGAUGGGUAGGAGGAGCACUAGUUCUCGUUAGUUCAGUGGAAGAAGGCCAUAUCCUCAGGUCGACUUUGUAUGCACACUGGUUACAUGUACUCUUGGGAUGCUGAUAUUUUCCGUGCAACUGUUGUGACCUCCCAUUUCCCUUUCACUGGAACACGCAGGUUUGUACAAAUUUACGGCAGAGAAAUAAUAUCAAUUUGAGAACCUGAACCAGAUGACAAUGUUGGUUAAUCUUUGCUUAAGUUAUGUAUAUUUCUGCAUUCAGACAAAAUUUAUUCAUCUCUAGACCUUGAUUUAUCAAGAAGUUAGGAUGCAUUUUCUAGUUGCUGCCUUCGACUGUGUCAUUUGUGAGAUAUUUCCCUUGUGAUCUUCUCAAUACCAGGUAUACAUGCAGCUGUUUGGUAUGGAUACACAAGCUCCAGUGAGGAGGCAUUGAUGUCGGCCAUGUGACUUCUCGUCUUUGUUAUUGCGGUUUCCCUAAGAACUUAGAGAAUUACGCACCAGUUCACUAGGUUUUAUAUGUGCAAAUUAAUGUCACCUGGAUUGCCUUUAUCCGUGAAAAUGAAUAAACACUGAGACAUAUAACUUUAAUUGUAUUCAGAUGGGUAAAAUUUCACAUUUAAUCCCAGCAAAAUCAUCUCUGUUCCGCUUGGUUGAUGAUAGAUUGCUCUUAUUUAGAUUCUUCGGAUGCAUAUGGUGACGCCCAGUGCAAAUUAUUGUUUAAUUUUUAUUGAAACAUAAGCUGCUGCUUGUGAUUAGUGAGUAUGUGAUGCUGGUGUCAUGCGGCAACAUUGGUAGCUGACAGUUUUCUUUUUUUUUUGUUCUGAUUGGGGAAUGGGGGUUAUUUUUAAUUAUAUCUUAGAAGGAUGGUGUGAUUUGGUCAUUAAAAUAUUAAAUUGUUGAUUUGUUGGUCAAGAAGGGAGAUAUAACUACAGAUUCAACAUGGUAGUUACCUUAUCUCUGCCAUUUUGCCAUGAACCAAUUGUUAAUCGGAACUCCACUUUAAGAAACUGACUAUAAGAAUUGAUCUUAUCCUUCCAAUCAUACAGUCAGGAAUGUUAAACCUUGCAGUACAUUAAAUAUUGAUCGUGGUAGACAUGUAUGGAUGAAAUGAACUCAAAUUUAGCAACUAUAUGCUUUUUGUCUGGUUGAAUGUCUUUGUCUGCUCUGAGCAAAGAUGCCCAUAUCCCAUGACUUGUGUCUCUGAAACAAAUUCAUAUAUGCAGCUUUCAUGUAACAUUUACCUUGCUGAGGUUGUUAUGUUCAGUUAGCAAAUUUGUGUCAGUUAUCUUCAGGUUGUAAACUAGGCUAUUUAGUUUAUAGGCUGCAAAAGAAGGCCACAACAACUAUUUUUGAGGUGUUUGGGUGUUAACCUCUGUGGCUCUAUGUGCUUCUUAUGCAUUCAGUAUUGCUAAUCAUUUUCUGUGAUUCCCAAUUACAUAUCCUUCCUGUAUAUGAUAUAUGCAUGCAGCUUCUUUCCUGUAGCCAUGCAGUAAUUAUUUUUGACAAAGGUUAUAUGCAGUUUAAGCUUUUUCGUAAUGUUGGAGAUUUUUUCUGAACUCUGCACUGCUCAUUUUUCUGGCAGAAACUGAUGCAGAGGUGAGCUUAAUUGCCAAGUAAAGCCAGACUGCGUCUAUAACUUCAUAUUGAGAUGAACGCUACUGAUUUCCCAGAGCUAUACGCUGCAGCUGCAGGUGCCAUGGCCAUGGAGAUGAGGUUGUGGAAUGGCGGGUGUACAAAGGGGCGUACCCGGACGAGCUCUGUGAAAAAGAGGUCAGUGCCACCAGAUCCUCUCCUAAUCAAGAUGCUGCCCCUAUUCAAUCUCUGUUUCUCGUGCUGCUUAACAUUUUUAAUGUUUUUGAAAUCUGAAUUACCCAGCGGUAUACACCUGCUUUCGGUUGUCUUCGGAGGGAUAUGGAUGACCGGAUUGAUCCUGCUGCCAGACAGCCAUUUGACCAUGCUAGAGGCAACAAUUGGAUAGCAAACAAUGUGUCGUCAAUCCAACCUCUGCUAGCACUAACCUGACCUCAACCUGUGGAAUACCCUCUGUAUAGUUCUUGAGCUGCAGGAUCCCCGUGAAACUUCCAUGACCAUAUAUGUCACUGUUUCUGACUAGAAACCUAUCUCUGAUACAUCCCAUGUAAUUGAAGUUUUUUCUAGUCAAACAUCAGAGUAUUUGUGAUCAGUCAGUUUGGCUUCAAAAUAAUUAUGGGUUUUUUCUUGACACUAAUCACUAUAUGCAUUUAAGAAUUAUGUCAUAAACAGAACAAAGGUUGGUGUUUUUCAACAAGUGUCUGCAGGAUGCAAUUUACUGAUAGGCUGUACUUACAAAAGUUUAGGGUGCAUUUCAGUUAGGGUUCAGUUAGGGUGCAUUUCAGUUAAGGUCCUUGUCAACCACUGCCCUUCGUCAAUUGUGAAUGAUAUUUUUGGCAGAGCAUUUUGGUUUCUGAGCCAGAUCUUUUGCAUGUAAAUUUAUAAGACCCAACAGAUUUAAUUGAUUUAUGCUGCAUUGUAUUUCCUCUUGAUAAUUUAUUAAUGUUGCCAAGUCUGUCUCAUCUUAUACUGGAUACUUGUAUUCUUGUAGGUGCACCCAUAGUUCCAACUUCCAACAAGUGAGAGCUGCAGAGAACAGCAGGACACGCGCAUACAGGCAAGGGCAGAGACACGCUAACAGAAUCAUCAGCUGGGCUCCAUCAAUCUUCAGUUGUAUAAUAGCGGUUGGGUCACUUGACGGAAACAAAAGAUUACGAGGGUCGAGGGAGCCUCUGUUGUACCUGUCUUUAACUGCAUUGGGAAGGAACACAAAUUUAUUGAGAUUAUGAGCUUGAGAUGUGAUUGCGAACAUUAUUUUCAUGUAAGGUGUUUGCCAUAAAAGGUUAUCUAUUGGCAGAUUGUACUACUGUAUUAUUGAGCUUGCAAAGAAUUACCAACCUUUUGUUUGGACCCCAUCAAGCUCUCUCGUGGGCUAUUCUUACCUUAAGAAA